GGGUUGUAGGACACUCUAUACGGAGUUACAAAGGACGACAUUAGACGAAUCAUCUGGAAAGAUGAAUCAAAGAAGGUAAUAAUCCUGUAGUCGAAAAUGUUGUCUCUCUUGAGUGGAUCCUGAGUACGACGGAGCACGUGAAAUUCCGUCGGAAUCUGGGAGGACCAUCUCCUAAGGCUAAAUACUCUCUAGUGACCGAUAGUGAACCAGUACCGUGAGGGAAAGGUGAAAAGCACCCCGGAAGGGGAGUGAAAUAGAACCUGAAACCGUGUGCUUACAAGUAGUCAGAGCCCGUUAAUGGGUGAUGGCGUGCCUUUUGUAGAAUGAACCGGCGAGUUACGAUUUGAUGCAAGAUUAAGCAGUAAAUGUGGAGCCGUAGCGAAAGCGAGUCUGAAUAGGGCGUUUAGUAUUUGGUCGUAGACCCGAAACCAGGUGAUCUACCCUUGGUCAGGUUGAAGUUCAGGUAACACUGAAUGGAGGACCGAACCGACUUACGUUGAAAA
rnacentral:rRNA from 2 species